UGGGGAAUAUUGGGCAAUGGACGCAAGUCUGACCCAGCAACGCCGCGUGAAGGAAGAAGGCUUUCGGGUUGUAGACUUCUUUUAAGAGGGAAGAGGAGAAGACGGUACCUCUUGAAUAAGCCACGGCUAACUACGUGCCAGCAGCCGCGGUAAUACGUAGGUGGCAAGCGUUGUCCGGAUUUACUGGGUGUAAAGGGCGUGCAGCCGGGCCGGCAAGUCAGAUGUGAAAUCCCCAGGCUCAACCUGGGAACUGCAUUUGAAACUGUUGGUCUUGAGUAUCGGAGAGGUAAUCGGAAUUCCUUGUGUAGCGGUGAAAUGCGUAGAUAUUAGGAGGAACACCAGUGGCGAAGGCGGCUUGCUGGACGACAACUGACGCUGAGGCGCGAAAGCGU
rnacentral:rRNA from 1 species